UGGGAACCGUGGUGAUCUGAGAAUAGGG
rnacentral:piRNA from 1 species